rnacentral:rRNA from 1 species
GACGAACGCUGGCGGCGUGCUUAACACAUGCAAGUCGAACGGAAAGGCCCUGCUUUUGUGGGGUGCUCGAGUGGCGAACGGGUGAGUAACACGUGAGUAACCUGCCCUUGACUUUGGGAUAACUUCAGGAAACUGGGGCUAAUACCGGAUAGGAGCUCCUGCUGCAUGGUGGGGGUUGGAAAGUUUCGGCGGUUGGGGAUGGACUCGCGGCUUAUCAGCUUGUUGGUGGGGUAGUGGCUUACCAAGGCUUUGACGGGUAGCCGGCCUGAGAGGGUGACCGGACACAUUGGGACUGAGAUACGGCCCAGACUCCUACGGGAGGCAGCAGUGGGGAAUAUUGCACAAUGGGCGGAAGCCUGAUGCAGCAACGCCGCGUGCGGGAUGACGGCCAGCGGGUUGUAAACCGCUUUCGCCUGUGACGAAGCGUUAGUGACGGUAAUGGGUAAAGAAGCACCGGCUAACUACGUG